UAGAUGGCGACCGGCGCACGGGUGAGUAACACGUAUCCAACCUGCCGAUAACUCGGGGAUAGCCUUUCGAAAGAAAGAUUAAUACCCGAUGGCAUAAUAGAACCGCAUGGUUUGAUUAUUAAAGAAUUUCGGUUAUCGAUGGGGAUGCGUUCCAUUAGGCAGUUGGUGGGGUAACGGCCCACCAAACCUUCGAUGGAUAGGGGUUCUGAGAGGAAGGUCCCCCACAUUGGAACUGAGACACGGUCCAAACUCCUACGGGAGGCAGCAUG
rnacentral:rRNA from 1 species